rnacentral:tRNA from 1 species
GGGGCCAUAGCUCAGCUGGGAGAGCGGUUGGUUCGCAAUCAACAGGCCGCCGGUUCGAUCCCGGCUGGCUCCA